AUAUUAAUUCAUAUUUUGAUAAGCUGUAAGCAAUUCUACAAUUCAUGGGUUGCGUGACUUCUAAUAGGCUGAUUCGUUGCACUAGUCGCCCUUCACUCACCGGUCCAAUAACUAUGCUUGGAGCGCUCACGCGCCGGGUGGGAGGCCCUCAGGACCGCCCUGAGAGGCGCAGGCUUCAGGCUCGGACCCCCAGGAACUUGCCCUCUAGUGGGCUAAAUAGGAAGGUGUGUCUACGAAAAUAAAGACCGGCGAGCGUGCGCACGGUGCCCGGCUGUACUAGGAGGGGAGAGCAGGGCCGCGGUGAGUGCAUUCAGUGCUAGGCCUGGCUGGGUCUGGGGCAGCGACAGGCGUUGGCCAAGAGUUCUGGGCUGAGGCACCAGGUCCUACCGAGGCGUGGAGACCCAGCAGAACGCGGGGCUCUAGGAAACGCUGGGCUCGCGAGGCGAGAAGCUGCGGGGAGAGGAACGUGAAAGGAAGAGCUCCUGGGUGCUUUGUUAAGAAGUCUGGAUUUGACCCCGAAAUGAGGUGCAUCAUAAGAUUUGAGCAGGGACGGACGGCAUGGUCCUAUUCGGCUUUUUGAUACCGCUCUGAUGGCUGUAGACGAGAGCUGACCCCGGGGCAAGGCUGAUGCGGUCACCUGGAAUAGACAGAAUCCAAGGCCAGGAUUCCCACCUGUGGACUAUGUGCAACGCAGCUGCAGCUCGGGGACUGGAAAGCCACACAGAGGGGCUGAGGGGUCCAGGAGAGGCUGCCGGCCCCUUUGGAUCUGGGGUUCUCAGGGGACAUUCCCAGGAACACCCAUGGCUGGCCACUUGUCUGGAGAUGACUUGGGCAGCGGCCCCAGUUUGGACCUGCUGCUGGGGCUACCCAGAGCAUGCGUUUUCAAGGAUGCCUACCUAUAGGACGUCUAUUUCAGACAAAAAACAUGAUCGUAACGUGUUCUCAAAGCUAAAUAAUCUGAUUUUUAUCCCUCCACAGUUUUCUUUAGAAAGCCUUUAUAGUUGUAUUAUUAAGAAAAUUUACAAAGGAAAUGUUACAUUUAUGAGUGAUGCAUAUGUUUGCUUGUAUUUUAUUUUUAAAAAUUUUGAAAGUACCUUUGAUCAUCACGAGAAAGUAAAAAGGCCAGCAAUUUGAGACAAUUUUCUCACAGUCUCUCAUGAGGAGCAAAUCACAUAAUUCUUCUUGGUUUCUAACUAUGUAAAUAUAAAAUGUAAACAGA